GAUGAACGCUAGCGGAAGGCUUAAUACAUGCAAGUCGAGCGGUAAAAAAUCUGAGCAAUUGGAUUUGAGAGCGGCGCACGGGUGAGUAACGCGUACAUGACCUACCUUUAAGAUCGGGAUAGCCCUGGGAAACUGGGAUUAAUACCGGAUGUGAUAAUAAGUAUAGAGAUUUAUUAUUAAAGCUGAGGCGCUUAGAGAUGGGUGUGCGUCUGAUUAGCUAGUUGGUAGGGUAAAGGCCUACCAAGGCGACGAUCAGUAGGGGGCGUGAGAGCGUGAUCCCCCACACGGGUACUGAGACACGGACCCGACUCCUACGGGAGGCAGCAGUAGGGAAUAUUGGUCAAUGGACGGAAGUCUGAACCAGCCAAUUCCGCGUGCAGGAAGAAGAUUCUAUGGAUUGUAAACUGCUUUUAGCAGAGAAGAAAAGCCUUCAUUGAUGGGGUCUGACGGUAUCUGCGGAAUAAGCACCGGCUAACUCCGUGCCAGCAGCCGACGGU
rnacentral:rRNA from 1 species